rnacentral:rRNA from 1 species
GACGAACGCUGGCGGCGUGCUUAACACAUGCAAGUCGAACGGAAAGGCCCUGCUUUUGUGGGGUGCUCGAGUGGCGAACGGGUGAGUAACACGUGAGUAACCUGCCCUUGACUUUGGGAUAACUUCAGGAAACUGGGGCUAAUACCGGAUAGGAGCUCCUGCUGCAUGGUGGGGGUUGGAAAGUUUCGGCGGUUGGGGAUGGACUCGCGGCUUAUCAGCUUGUUGGUGGGGUAGUGGCUUACCAAGGCUUUGACGGGUAGCCGGCCUGAGAGGGUGACCGGCCACAUUGGGACUGAGAUACGGCCCAGACUCCUACGGGAGGCAGCCGUGGGGAAUAUUGCCCAAUGGGCGGAAGCCUGAUGCAGCAACGCCGCGUGCGGGAUGACGGCCUUCGGGUUGUAAACCGCUUUCGCCUGUGACGAAGCGUGAGUGACGGUAAUGGGUAAAGAAGCACCGGCUAACUACGUG